CACAGAAAUGAAAUUUCGAAAGGAAUUCUGGACAAUUUCGUACACUCUGUACUUUGAAAGAAAGAAGUAGCUUAUCAGAAUAAGCUGCUCUGGAACCAUAAGGAGAGGGGAUGCCUGGUGGUCCCAGGCCUGGAGCUCAGGGCCAGAGUGGAUGCUCCACAAGGACAGGAAACCCUUCCACCCACAGAGACUUCACCCCAUUCUUAUCACCAGCCCCCAUCUGUUGAAGUACAAGAAAUUCCCCGAAGAGAUUCUGGAGACUAGGACUGACAUCCAAAGCAAGGCCUUUAGAAUAAAGGAUUAAAGCCUAAAGGACUCAGUUCAGAGGAAAUUCAUACGAGACAGAGAAAUGAGAGACAGGAGGAAGAAAGUGGCUGCAAAAUAUGAAGAAGGAAGGCAUGUGUGAAGAACAGAAAUGGAAUACACAAAUGCCCUUUGGAAAUCGGGGACAGUCGGCUCUCCUGCCUGUGUUGCUAAGAGGCUUCUUCCGCCUUGCAAACAGGGAUGAGGGACAUGAAUAGACCGCUGUGAUGCAGAGGACCUUGGACUCCCAAAGUUUGCCAGGUCUUCUUGGCCAGUAGAA